UACAGAGGUGGCAAGCGUUGUUCGGAAUUACUGGGCGUAAAGGGCGCGUAGGCGGUCUUCUAAGUCUUGUGUGAAAUCCCUCGGCUCAACUGAGGAACUGCACGGGGUACUGGAAGACUUGAGUUCGGGAGAGGGAAGCGGAAUUCCGGGUGUAGCGGUGAAAUGCAUAGAUAUCCGGAGGAACACCGGUGGCGAAGGCGGCUUCCUGGACCGAUUACUGACGCUGAGGCGCGAAAGCUAGGGGAGCAAACGGG
rnacentral:rRNA from 1 species